ensembl:lncRNA
GGUUUAUUUCAGUGAUAGACAGAUUAUGCAUAUUCUGGAAAGAGAUGUGAGUAGCAUCUGGGAAGAGAAAGAGACAGAGAUCUAUGACCAACCCAAGUGUGUGAAAAGUAGAUGGGGUACUCCUUCACUGGUGCAGAAGUCAAGUGAUCCUCAGACACAGUCAGAAGGAGGCUCGGAUUCUCUUUUAAUUUAAUUUCUUCUCAGAAAGAGUGGUGAGGCAUUGGCACGGGCUGCCCAGGGAGGUGGUGGAUUCAUCGUCCCUGGAGGUGUUCAAGAACCGUGUAGAUGUGGUACUGAGGAACAUGGCAGCAAUGAAUAAGUCCAUUUGCAACCGGUGAUGUCACGUCAUUGCUCAAGGCUAAAUUGGAUGAAAUCACUUUCUGACUGGAUUUCCAGGCAGAAGGGCAUUGGCUAAUGGUGCUGGAUCAUCAAACUACACCUGGGAAAAAAGUGGGAUACAGGAACUACUCCACCACUCUGAGGUGUUUUCAG